AGGUACCAUUUUGUUUUGAAUUAAGAGUAUAUGGGAAAGCCUGAAUAUGUGGAUAAUACAACAGAUUCUUACCAUCUCCACAAAGGUCAGAGAUUAGUUGCCUGGACUGAAGGCCACUUGGAAAGGUUUCUUCUCCUUCUUUCGCUGUUUGGAGUUGUCUAGAGACAACUGACUGAUGGCAAGAGGAUUUUGACAAGGAACAACAUGCCAAAGAGCAUUUGUGGUGUGGGACCAAACUACUGCCAAGUCUGAAGAGAGAAACUGAAGCUAAUGGAUUCCCAGGAGUCUACUGGGGAUGAGAGAAGAUCAGCAAAGUGACCAGUGACAGGGGCAGACCUCUGUGGCUGAGGACUUGACAUCCCUUGAUAAUGGUGUUGUGUUUGUUGGGUCUUGCCUUGGUGAUUCCCAGCUUGUGAAGUGCCUGCAGUAAUGUGGAUUAAGACCCACUCUCAUUCUGUUGGGCCACACUUAACUAAAAAUAACAUUUUCAAGAGGCCCUAUUUACAAUGGGUUCACACCCACAGGACUGAGGAUUAAGAUUAAGAACAUAUUUUUGCUGGCACCAAUCUACCAAAGCUAGUUUAAAUGCCACCACAAAAGUCAAAUCAUUCAGAACCAGUCAGAGUCCUUGGGUAAGUGCCUUAUUACGUCAUUGAUUUAGAUCCUGGAAGAAUUUAAAAAGUGAGGCCACUUAACUCAGUUGGUUAGACAUGAAGCUAACGAAUGCCAAGAGAUAACUGAACUUGAUCCUCAAUCAAUAGUAUUCUACGAGGAAAGGAAAUUACAUUCCACUGUCACCCUGAAUCUUGGCUCCUCAAACAUUUAUCACUGAUCACGAUGGGGAGAGAGUAAGUGCUCAGCUGUAUAGCAGUGGUUCUCAAAGUGUGGUUUGCAACACAGCAGCACCAGGAAACUUGCUAGAAAUGCAAAUUCUGAAGACUCUUCUCAGACAUGUUGAAUCAUAAACCCAGGGCGCACAGUGGAUCUCACAAUCUCUGUUUUGACAAGCCCUCCUGGUGAUUCUGAUGCCCUCUAAGGUUUGAGGACUGCUGCUACUCAUAGCCCAUCACCAUUACUAGAAGAAAACAAAACAAAACAAAAGGCAGAUCCGAUGUCCUCCUAUUGUUGAGUGAGGAGCAGCAUAAGCAGUUCAGGACACCUGAAGCUACUGUAGUUUGGACCCUCUUUUUUUUGUCCCAUGAGAUCUUCAAACCCAGACCACAGCCUCCUCACACAUGAACACAGCCUCUGCCAUAGGCAUAAAAUCACCAGAUGUGUACAGCAGGUUAGGGUGUGUCUUGCCAAUAAUCUCACCUUCAUGACUUCACUGGCUGACUGUCUUGAUCUCUGAUGUCUUUGCUCCUGACCCUGGAAAUCCCCUGACCGCUGAACACGGGCUUGACCUCUUGACCCCCAAUCCAUUGGCUGGUGUUGGAACUUAGCAGUUGCAGAGAUUUCUAUUUCCACCCCUACUCGAUCACCUGGGGCCUGCUGAUGUCCCUGCUAGGCCAUGAUAUUUAUUUCUAUAAACAAGGGAUGACAUAUUUGCUUUUAAGUAUUACAUCAUGGGCUUUGCUGGUUUGAAUGUAUUAUAUCUCCCAGAAAAGGCCAUAUUCUUUGAAGUAAUCUUGUGUGGGCAGACAUAUCAGUGUUGAUUAGAUUGUAAUUCUUUGAGGGUUUCCCUGCAGAUGUGCC